GAAAACUUGGAAACUACCGCUGGAUCGAGCAAUGAAUAUUCGAGAUUCAUCUACGUCACCAUGAGUAAAAUUUUAACUCAUGAAUGAUCUGCGAGUUAAAUUUUAACUCAGAUGACGUGGACGAAUCUCGGACGUCCAUUGCUCGAUCCAACAGUAGUUUCCAAGCUUCC
rnacentral:pre_miRNA from 1 species